rnacentral:rRNA from 1 species
UACGAAGGGGGCUAGCGUUGCUCGGAAUCACUGGGCGUAAAGCGCACGUAGGCGGCUUCUUAAGUCAGGGGUGAAAUCCUGGAGCUCAACUCCAGAACUGCCUUUGAUACUGAGAGCUUGAGUCCGGGAGAGGUGAGUGGAACUCCGAGUGUAGAGGUGAAAUUCGUAGAUAUUCGGAAGAACACCAGUGGCGAAGGCGGCUCACUGGCCCGGUACUGACGCUGAGGUGCGAAAGCGUGGGGAGCAAACAGGG